UUUCUAACCUUCUAACCAUGAAAUAAAGACGCACUACAGGCAUGGAAAUAGUAUUUGCUUAACCACUGUAUUUCACUUAACGUAUGUCACAACUUUUAGUUUAUUUUGAGUAUUUCAUCAAACCACAAAGAUAAUGGUUCAUGGAUGAUGUUCUGACAUCUAUACUUUAAACAAUAAUGUUAUCAAUAAAAAAUCUACUCAGACUGAGACCACAAAAGUUCACGAAAUAGUUAUCUUUAGUUUGGUCAACAUAUCAAAUUAUAGCAGUUGUAAACUUGAGUAUAUUUCUUUCAAACACCAAACUGGGUCCAAACAAAGGUAGUUGGUAAUGUGUUUUGGGUAAAAUAGAUUAUUCCAAAAAUGAUUUGAAUAAUCUUUGGUCAAACGCUAUUGCAAUAACUGUGAAAAUUUUGUUGCAUUGAGUGCUAUAAGUUGCAUGUGAAGAAGUUAAGUAGGGCAACAAUUUCUAAAGUAUUUGUCUAAUUCCUCUCUCCUAAAUAGCUCGUGGUUUUGCUUUUUUUAUUAUUAUGAUUGACAAUAAAUUCAUACCUCACCUCUGUAGAGUUCUUUCCAUUUUUCAAAACAUGUUGACAUUUAUGAUUUUGUUUUCCUUCUCACAAUAUACCUGGGAGAUAGGCGGUGUGCCCGAAAGGUCUGGUUCCACCUGGUUUCAACACAACUAGAAUUAUCUGCUGAGCUCCUGGCUAUGCAGCGGGACAAUAAGUCCCAGGCUCCUUACACCACGUGACUGAAUUCUGCCAACGCAAUGUGAGUAGAGAGGACGGUACAGCCUCCAGGUGGGGCACUUACACAGCCACAUUCUUCCCCUUCCCCUCUUUCUUUGUCACUGGAUGAAAUGCGGGUAUCAUUUGCCCUGGAAAUGCACAAAGGUCAUGCACCUAUCUGGGCAGGAAUUUUUUCCCUGUUCUUCCUCACGGUUUUAAACUCCUCCCCAGACACUGUGUGAGAAAACAGACUUUAAGUAUUCAAUUGAGAAGAGAGAAAAAAAGGACAUACAUACUGAAAUAAGUAGAGAUGAUUUUACAUCUGCAUUUAUUCCUUCAUUAAAAAUUAUAUCGAUCGUAUUCUUCUGUGAACACGUAACGGAAAUAUCAGCGUGGAGUCUUCGAAGGCUAAAUAACAGUUUAUCCCAAGAUGGAGGGGCAAAGAAGUAGAGUGAUCCUUCAGAUUGACUUUGUACCAAGACGGAGCAUACAAAAGGUAGACGAUGCUUCUCUGUGUUCCCUGUACAAACAUUUGCAAGACUCCCACAUGGGAGGCCCACGCGUACCUUCAGCUCGAUCCUGGCCCUCUCAGAAACCCAUGGGCAGAAUAAAAACUCAGAGGCACUGCUGGGGCCAGAACCCCAACUACAGGCCUCAAUGCUAGUUUCUCAGGGGACAUCAGGAGCUGUGAAGGUAUAGCAGUCUCUCUACAAGUCACAGAGAAAAGGUGUGUCCUCUUUCUGGGUUAUACUCAGAUGAGCAAAACAACCCGGGGUCCUAGAGCUCUCUGGGGAAAACCUUUUAGCUCUGUUUCUCCCAGUCUCUGACUCUGGUUCUCUUUUAAACACACACACACACACACACACACACACACACACACACAUUUUUUCAAGGUUUAUCUCAGUACCAGGAACCCAAAAGAAUAUGGAGACUUCCAUUUUGAGCAGAACCCUCCAUUAUUCAACCUGCUGUUUGUCUGACCUGCCUCCUGUCCUCCAGGCCAUCAGACAAUGAUUCUUGAACUCGGGGUUAGCGCAGGGGUGAGGGUGGGCGGCUAGGAGAGAAGGUUGGUUCAAAUCCCCAGUCUCCCCAGGGUGGGGGGGGGGGUCUCUUUAGUCUGCAAAUUAGUGGAAGCACACAAUGGGGCAGGGAAGGGGUGCUGGCCACUUUGCUUCUUCACCAGCAUCAGAUCCCCAAAUGCAAAAGAAUAUGCUAGGGGCUUAGUGGCCUUAACAGCAAUAUCUAAGCCCUGGCUGAAAUGUUCUAUUACCCAUAUAUGCACAGUAUGUCUUACCUUUUCAAAUAAGGUCCAAACUUCCCUACCUUCCUGUCCCUAACACAGCCACCAAGAAAGAACAUUGAAAACACAAUGAAAAUAUCUCAUAUGAAAAAACUAAGCUAUUGUUUUUGAUAACGACAAGUUACCUCUUCAUAGUAUGUAAGAAUGGCUACAUUCCAAACCAAGGAAAUUUGAAAGCAAAAUUAA